rnacentral:lncRNA from 1 species
UAUACAUAGUUUCUAAUUUUUUUCCGAACAGAUCCAGAUACCUAAUAAGAUGCUGGAAUGUAAUCCCUGGACAAUCCGUGUCCUGGCAGCAUUUGGUCUUCCUCUAAGCGCCUGGCUCCGCUGUUCUCAGGAGUGGGUUCUGAAGUCUCUGGAGAACAGGAUACGUGGAGGGUUAGGAAGGGGCCAGGCCUAGAGACGGGAGACUCCCUCCCGGAGCAGGUGGAGGCACAGGACCAUUCGCUACCCCAUCUGCCGGCACCUGCGGGGGAGCCCAGGCAUUCUUUGUAAGCCCUCCUGACCACCUGGCUCAAAGAAAACAGAAGCAUGGAGGCCGCCAAGUAUUUUCAAGAAAUAAUCCCAUGAACAUGGCAUCACUUUUUUAGAAAGAGGGGCUUGGGGCAGGCAGAGGAGAGAAGGGAGAUCAAACUGAGAGCCAAGUUUCCAGACGGUCCUGCAGGAGGAGAGGAUGCAGCUGCCCAGAGGGAAGCAGGAUCACAUUUAAGGAAGUGUGUGGGGUCCCUGGAUGACACCAGCACCCAGUGCGGCUCUGU